AGUGAACGCUGGCGGUAGGCCUAACACAUGCAAGUCGAACGGCAGCACAGUAAGAGCUUGCUCUUACGGGUGUCGAGUGUCGGACGGUGGAGGUAGACACCGGAAUCUACUUUUUCGGGGGGGAUAACGUAGGGAAACUUACGCUAAUACCGCAUACAACGUACGUGGGAAAGUAGGGGAUCUUCUGACCUUGCGCGAUUGAAUGAGCCUAGGUCGGAUUAGCUAGUUAGCGGGUUAGAGGCCCACCCAGGCCACGAUCCGUAGCUGAUCCGAGAGGGUGAACAGCCACACUGGCACUGAGACACGGUACAGACUCCUACGGGAGGAAGCAGUGGGGAAUAUUGGGCAAUGCGGGAAAGCCUGAUACAGGCAUACCGCGUGAGUGAAGAAGGACUUCGGGUUGUAAAGCCAUUUUGUUGGGAAAGAAGAGAAGCAGGUUAAUACCCCGCUGUUAUGACGGUACCGAAAGAAUAAGCACCGGCUAACUUCGUG
rnacentral:rRNA from 1 species